CCCACCAAUGGGUAGCACCUAUUAUAAAAAAUGAUUAGCCUGUCUUGCAGCACCGGCAGUAGGCGGUAUAGCAUCGGGAAGGAAAAAAAUGUGGAGAGAAUCCAGUCUCCUGCGAGGCUGGCGGAUAAACGCGUGUGAUGCUGCUGCUGCAACACCUCUGGAGGCGAUGCAGGAGCGGCGGUGCAGCAGACACUAAAGCGGGGAGACAGACACUAAAACACCGCCUGAGAGACAGCAGAAACACCGGAGGGGCUACGGAGGAUUAGCUGAUUGAACCCGUGAUCGCCCAGUUUCUCAGACGGAGACCCCCAGCCUCCAUUCGCAGCAUAAGAUGGUGAUGGAUAUGCAUUCAGCUAACAAAGUGAAGAGAAUUUCAAUCAUGGCGAGGCUCGUCUUUUCCCUCCUGCUCCUGUGUGGAUGCCAAAAUAGUCUCAGCAGGUCCU